AGGUCCCACCGGAGGAAGGCGAAAACGGCGCAGAAGGAGGCGUCGAAGGAGGCGUUAUCGCAGGAACCAGCGUUCAGCUGCCGAGGAGACCAUGGAUGUGGUGCAGGAGGAGCGUUCAGCUGCCGAGGAGAC